CGCCUGAAACUUAAGGAAAGGGGAAAAACAAGAUAAGGUGAAUGGUUUCAAUAAGGACAUUUUUUGUAUAUAAAGCGCUGUGAGUGAUAUGCUGAUCACAGUUCGAAUUCGCUUCGACAAGCAGUCUUCUUCUCUCUUGCAGAGUUAGACGAAAGCACUUGAACCAAAUAUGCAGUGUAACAGACGAGUUUUCUUCUCCAUUGUCUUGGCCAUCGCUCUCCUAGGCAACAUUUGCUUGGCCAAGCCCGGCAUGGGAGGAGGAGGAGGAGGAGGUGGAAUGAUGGGAAUGGGAGGAGGAAAGGGCAACAAACACGGAGGAGGAUCCAGAAUCACAGAGAUGUUGGCGGCAGGAUUGGUCGCCAAGAUGCUGAGCGAGAUGCAUGGUCACAAGUGUCAUCACGGUUGAGCAUUCCUCGUUUCAAACAACUUUUUCAUUUGUACAUAGUCCCUUCUAGAGAUUUUAUAUAGAGUUAUUAUUAUUUGUUUCUCCCAAAUAAAAUAUUUUAUUUGCGUUGUA